UGUGAGAAGGCAGCUUAAAUGGAUCC
rnacentral:piRNA from 1 species